AGUGAACGCUGGCGGUAGGCCUAACACAUGCAAGUCGAACGGCAGCACAGUAAGAGCUUGCUCUUACGGGUGGCGAGUGGCGGACGGGUGAGGAAUACAUCGGAAUCUACUUUUUCGUGGGGGAUAACGUAGGGAAACUUACGCUAAUACCGCAUACGACCUACGGGUGAAAGCAGGGGAUCUUAGGACCUUGCGCGAUUGAAUGAGCCGAUGUCGGAUUAGCUAGUUGGCGGGGUAAAGGCCCACCAAGGCGACGAUCCGUAGCUGGUCUGAGAGGAUGAUCAGCCACACUGGAACUGAGACACGGUCCAGACUCCUACGGGAGGCAGCAGUGGGGAACAUUGGACAAUGCGCGCAAGCCUGAUCCAGCCAUACCGCGUGGGUGAAGAAGGCCUUCGGGUUGUAAAGCCCUUUUGUUGGGAAAGAAAAGCAGCAGGUUAAUACCCCGCUGUUCUGACGGUACCAAAAGAAUAAGCACCGGCUAACUUCGUG
rnacentral:rRNA from 1 species